rnacentral:rRNA from 1 species
CGGAUGUUAGCGGCGGACGGGUGAGUAACACGUGGGUAACCUGCCUGUAAGACUGGGAUAACUCCGGGAAACCGGAGCUAAUACCGGAUAGUUCCUUGAACCGCAUGGUUCAAGGAUGAAAGACGGUUUCGGCUGUCACUUACAGAUGGACCCGCGGCGCAUUAGCUAGUUGGUGGGGUAAUGGCUCACCAAGGCGACGAUGCGUAGCCGACCUGAGAGGGUGAUCGGCCACACUGGGACUGAGACACGGCCCAGACUCCUACGGGAGGCAGCAGUAGGGAAUCUUCCGCAAUGGACGAAAGUCUGACGGAGCAACGCCGCGUGAGUGAUGAAGGUUUUCGGAUCGUAAAGCUCUGUUGUUAGGGAAGAACAAGUGCGAGAGUAACUGCUCGCACCUUGACGGUACCUAACCAGAAAGCCACGGCUAACUACGUGCCAGCAGCCGCGGUAAUACGUAGGUGGCAAGCGUUGUCCGGAAUUAUUGGGCGUAAAGGGCUCGCAGGCGGUUUCUUAAGUCUGAUGUGAAAGCCCCCGGCUCAACCGGGGAGGGUCAUUGGAAACUGGGAAACUUGAGUGCAGAAGAGGAGAGUGGAAUUCCACGUGUAGCGGUGAAAUGCGUAGAGAUGUGGAGGAACACCAGUGGCGAAGGCGACUCUCUGGUCUGUAACUGACGCUGAGGAGCGAAAGCGUGGGGAGCGAACAGGAUUAGAUACCCUGGUAGUCCACGCCGUAAACGAUGAGUGCUAAGUGUUAGGGGGUUUCCGCCCCUUAGUGCUGCAGCUAACGCAUUAAGCACUCCGCCUGGGGAGUACGGUCGCAAGACUGAAACUCAAAGGAAUUGACGGGGGCCCGCACAAGCGGUGGAGCAUGUGGUUUAAUUCGAAGCAACGCGAAGAACCUUACCAGGUCUUGACAUCCUCUGACAACCCUAGAGAUAGGGCUUUCCCUUCGGGGACAGAGUGACAGGUGGUGCAUGGUUGUCGUCAGCUCGUGUCGUGAGAUGUUGGGUUAAGUCCCGCAACGAGCGCAACCCUUGAUCUUAGUUGCCAGCAUUCAGUUGGGCACUCUAAGGUGACUGCCGGUGACAAACCGGAGGAAGGUGGGGAUGACGUCAAAUCAUCAUGCCCCUUAUGACCUGGGCUACACACGUGCUACAAUGGACAGAACAAAGGGCUGCAAGACCGCAAGGUUUAGCCAAUCCCAUAAAUCUGUUCUCAGUUCGGAUCGCAGUCUGCAACUCGACUGCGUGAAGCUGGAAUCGCU